rnacentral:rRNA from 1 species
CGGACUCAUAUUGAAACCUAGUGAUUUAUGAGUUAGUGGCGGACGGGUGAGUAACGCGUGGAAAACCUGCCGUAUACCGGGGGAUAACACUUAGAAAUAGGUGCUAAUACCGCAUAAGCGCACAGCUUCGCAUGAAGCAGUGUGAAAAACUCCGGUGGUAUAUGAUGGUUCCGCGUCUGAUUAGCUAGUUGGCGGGGUAACGGCCCACCAAGGCGACGAUGCGUAGGGGUUCUGAGAGGAAGGUCCCCCACACUGGUACUGAGACACGGACCAGACUCCUACGGGAGGCAGCAGUGAGGAAUAUUGGUCAAUGGGAGAGAUCCUGAACCAGCCAAGCCGCGUGAGGGAAGACGGCCCUAUGGGUUGUAAACCUCUUUUGUCGGAGAACAAAACCCGGGACGUGUCCCGGACUGCGUGUAUCCGAAGAAAAAGCAUCGGCUAACUCCGUGCCAGCAGCCGCGGUAAUACGGAGGAUGCGAGCGUUAUCCGGAUUUAUUGGGUUUAAAGGGUGCGUAGGCGGUCCGUUAAGUCAGCGGUAAAAUUGCGGGGCUCAACCCCGUCGAGCCGUUGAAACUGGCAGACUUGAGUUGGCGAGAAGUACGCGGAAUGCGCGGUGUAGCGGUGAAAUGCAUAGAUAUCGCGCAGAACUCCGAUUGCGAAGGCAGCGUACCGGCGCCCAACUGACGCUGAAGCACGAAGGCGUGGGUAUCGAACAGGAUUAGAUACCCUGGUAGUCCACGCAGUAAACGAUGAAUGCUAGUUGUC